CCCUUAGAUGUUCUGGGCAGCACGCGCGCUACAAUGGUCUUCGCAAACGGAUGCAUUCUCGAAGGAGAAUGCCAAUCUUGGAAUCUAUGCCUUGGUCGGGACAGUUGCUUGCAAUUUUUCGACUCGAACCAGGAAUUCCUUGUAAUCGUGAUUCAUCACAUCACGAUGAAUACGUCCCUGCCCUUUGUACACACCGCACGUCGCUCCUACCGAUCGAAGAGUUAGGUGAAUUGUUUUGAUCGAUAAGAUUUGACUAUGGUCAACUCUCGUUGUGAAAUUCUGUGAAUCUGACUGUUUAGAGGAAGGAAAAGUCGUAACA
rnacentral:rRNA from 1 species